rnacentral:rRNA from 1 species
ACGAACGCUGGCGGCGUGCUUAACACAUGCAAGUCGAACGGAAAGGCCCUGCUUUUGUGGGGUGCUCGAGUGGCGAACGGGUGAGUAACACGUGAGUAACCUGCCCUUGACUUUGGGAUAACUUCAGGAAACUGGGGCUAAUACCGGAUAGGAGCUCCUGCUGCAUGGUGGGGGUUGGAAAGUUUCGGCGGUUGGGGAUGGACUCGCGGCUUAUCAGCUUGUUGGUGGGGUAGUGGCUUACCAAGGCUUUGACGGGUAGCCGGCCUGAGAGGGUGACCGGCCACAUUGGGACUGAGAUACGGCCCAGACUCCUACGGGAGGCAGCAGUGGGGAAUAUUGCACAAUGGGCGGAAGCCUGAUGCAGCAACGCCGCGUGCGGGAUGACGGCCUUCGGGUUGUAAACCGCGUUCGCCUGUGACGAAGCGUGAGUGACGGUAAUGGGUAAAGAAGCACCGGCUAACUACGU